rnacentral:lncRNA from 1 species
CACAAUUUAACAAUAUCAUUUGGCCAAUAUCAUUCCCCAACACUUCCCCCUCCCUCCUCACUUCCCUCCCCUUGGUCCCUUUCAUCUACUUUGUGAAUCGUGCUAUUUUUUUUUUUUAAUUUUUUAUUGUGGGUUGUUCAAAACAUUACAAAUUUCUUGACAUAUCAUAUUCCACACUUUGAUUGAAGUGGGUUAUGAACUCCCACCUUCACCCCAUACACAGAUUGCAGAAUCACAUCAGUUACACAUCCAUUGAUUUACAAAUUGCCAUACUAGUGUCUGUUGUGCUCCGCUGGGAUCCAUUGUUUUUAAAGGGGUGGAAGAUAGUGGUGUUUAGUUUCUUAUGACACUGAGACCUGAGUAGGGAGUGGGAAGGUCUGAAAAAGAAUUUUUUUUUGUACCAGGGAUUGAACUGAGGGGUGCUUAAACAUCAAACCACAUCCUCAGCUCUUUUAAUUUUAUUUUUUAUUUUGAGACAGGGUCUCACGAAGUUUCUCAGGACCUGGGUAAGUUGCCGAGGCUGGCCUUGAACUUGUGAUCCUCCUGCUUUAGCCUCCCAAGCUGCUGAUUACAGACAUGAGCCACUUUACUUCCUACCUAUCGUUGUUUUUUUAAAGUCUAAUGUAAGCCAUGGGAGUAUAGCUUAGUAGUAAUGCAUCUACUUAGCCCUGGGUUUUAUCCCCAGCCUCAAUAACCAACAAACAAGCAAGCAGACAAAAAAGGGUCAUCCUCCUGCCUAAAAUUCUUUUGCAGUUCCUAUUCCUCUUAGAAUAUCCCAAAUUUUUUGUUUUGCUUUCAAGUUCUGGGGAGUUAGCUGCCACCAACCCUUCCAACCUCAGCAAACCCUUUGCUUCUAAACUGUAGUUGUGUCAGUCAUACAGCCUCCCACCACAGGGCCUUGACACAUGCCAUACUGUCUGCCUGUUGUCAAAUGCUGGGGCUACUGAGGCAGGCCCAGGAUAGGAAAUUUUGUCACUAGGAAGUGAUAAGUAUGCAAGUUCUACCUCUAAUUGGUCCCCUAUGCUGUUUUAAAACAAACCAAGUCCUGUGGACAAGGCAUGGUAGAAACAGUUUUCUUCAAAUUCAUGUGGUAGCAGAGCUAACCACCCCUGCUGAUUUCCAGUGUAUUGCAAGAACAUGCUGGGAAGGCCAGGUGUGGUGGCAGCACCCGUUUAAUUCCACUGAGUAGGGGCAGAGAGGGGGGCAUAUAUAGGAGGAGUGCAGGUUCUAGGCCAACCUCAACAAAUGAGCAAGGCCCUAAGUAAUU